rnacentral:rRNA from 1 species
CAUGUCUUUUUGAUAAUAAUUUAAGGUUUAACCUGCUCUAUGAUAAAUUAAAUGGCCGCGAUAUUUUGAUCGUGCGAAGGUAGCAUAAUAAUUAGUUUUUUAAUUGAAAGCUGGAAUGAAUGGUUGGACGAAAAAAUAACUGUUUCAAUUUAAAUUAAAUAAAAUUUUAUUUUUAAGUUAAAAAGCUUAAAUUUUAAUUAAAGACGAGAAGACCCUAUAGAGUUUUAUAUUUAAUUAUUUAAAAUUUUAAAGAAUUAAAUUUUUUAAAAUAAUUUAAUUAUUUUGUUGGGGUGACAGAAAAAUUAAAUAAACUUUUUUUUUAUUUUUAUAUUUAUAAAUAAUUUAUUGAUCCAUAAAUUAUGAUUAAAAGAAUAAAUUACCUUAGGGAUAACAGCGUAAUAUUUUUUGAGAGUUCUUAUCGAAAAAAGAGAUUGCGACCUCGAUGUUGGAUUAAAGUUAAAAUUUGGUGUAGAAGCUAAAUUAUUUAGUCUGUUCGACUAUUAAAACUUUACAUGAUCUGAGU